rnacentral:rRNA from 1 species
CGAAAAAUAACGAUACGGGACUCAUCCGAGGCCCCGUAAUCGGAAUGAGUACACUCUAAACCCUUUAACGAGGAUCAAUUGGAGGGCAAGUCUGGUGCCAGCAGCCGCGGUAAUUCCAGCUCCAAUAGCGUAUAUUAAAGUUGUUGCGGUUAAAAAGCUCGUAGUCGAAUUUGUGUCCCGCGCCGCCGGUUCAUCGCUCGCGGUGUCAACUGGCGUGUCCGCGGGACGUCCUGCCGGUGGGCUUAGCCCUUGUGGGCGGCCCAAUCUCAAUCCCACCGCGGUGCUCUUCACUGAGUGUCGAGGUGGGCCGGCACGUUUACUUUGAACAAAUUAGAGUGCUUAAAGCAGGCUAAAACAUCGCCUGAAUACUGUGUGCAUGGAAUAAUGGAAUAGGACCUCGGUUCUAUUUUGUUGGUUUUCGGAACCCCGAGGUAAUGAUUAAUAGGAACGGAUGGGGGCAUUCGUAUUGCGACGUUAGAGGUGAAAUUCUUGGAUCGUCGCAAGACGGACAGAAGCGAAAGCAUUUGCCAAAAACGCUUUCAUUGAUCAAGAACGAAAGUUAGAGGUUCGAAGGCGAUCAGAUACCGCCCUAGUUCUAACCAUAAACGAUGCCAGCUAGCGAUCCGCCGACGUUCCUCCGAUGACUCGGCGGGCAGCUUCCGGGAAACCAAAGCUUUUGGGUUCCGGGGGAAGUAUGGUUGCAAAGCUGAAACUUAAAGGAAUUGACGGAAGGGCACCACCAGGAGUGGAGCCUGCGGCUUAAUUUGACUCAACACGGGAAACCUCACCAGGCCCGGACACCGGAAGGAUUGACAGAUUGAGAG